AUGCACGCUGGCGGCGUGCCUCAUACAUGCAAGUCGAGCGAACGGACGAGAAGCUUGCUUCUCUGAUGUUAGCGGCGGACGGGUGAGUAACACGUGGAUAACCUACCUAUAAGACUGGGAUAACUUCGGGAAACCGUAGCUAAUACCGGAUAAUAUUUUGAACCGCAUGGUUCAAAAGUGAAAGACGGUCUUGCUGUCACUUAUAGAUGGAUCCGCGCUGCAUUAGCUAGUUGGUAAGGUAACGGCUUACCAAGGCAACGAUGCAUAGCCGACCUGAGAGGGUGAUCGGCCACACUGGAACUGAGACACGGUCCAGACUCCUACGGGAGGCAGCAGUAGGGAAUCUUCCGCAAUGGGCGAAAGCCUGACGGAGCAACGCCGCGUGAGUGAUGAAGGUCUUCGGAUCGUAAAACUCUGUUAUUAGGGAAGAACAUAUGUGUAAGUAACUGUGCACAUCUUGACGGUACCUAAUCAGAAAGCCACGGCUAACUACGUG
rnacentral:rRNA from 1 species